rnacentral:sRNA from 1 species
UGUCCUCGUUAGGUGAGGCUCCUAUACAAACAUAGGCCACUGCCCGGAAAUAUCGAAAGAUGCCAAUGGGUAGAACAGGAGUUGCCGGAAUAAGGCUUCUCUCAAUGUGGCUAAGAGCAUAUGCUCUUUACGUUGUAUAGUGCCAAAACUCGACUAGGG